rnacentral:lncRNA from 1 species
CCAAAUAUAUUAAUAAAGAUUGUAUAAGAUUUAUUAAUUUACUAUAUUAAUAAAUCUUUUAAAUAAAUAUGAAAAUAAUUAGGGUGUAAUGUUUGUUGAUGGAGAGUGUAUAACUUGCAGAGAAAAAUAAAAUAAUAUUGUAAUUUUCUUUUUUAAUUCCUGUUAGAAAAGAAUAAUAUAUUUAUUUAUUUAUUUAUAUUUUGUACUUAAUCAAAUGCAUUUAGGUAAGUGAACAAAAACAAAAAGAGAAGAAGUUUUUUAUUAACAAAGAGAGAGGUACAGUGGAGCGGAGAAGCAUGCUUGGCGAUGUGACCUCUCCUGUGAAUGAUAGACA